GUCAAGGCGUAUGGUAGUUAUGGAGAGAGAGGGGAGAAAGAGGUCAAGGCGUAUGGUAGUUAUGGAGAGAGAGGGGAGAAAGAGGUCAAGGCGUAUGGUAGUUAUGGAGAGAGAUGGGAUAAAGAGGUCAAGGCGUAGGGUAGUUAUGGAGAGAGAGGGGAGAAAGAGGUCAAGGUGUAUGGUAGUUAUGGAGAGAGAGGGGAGAAAGAGGUCAAGGUGUAUGGUAGUUAUGGAGAGAGAGGGGAGAAAGAGGUCAAGGUGUAUGGUAGUUAUGGAGAGAGAGGGGAGAACGAGGUCAAGGUGUAUGGUAGUUAUGUGUGAGUGGGACCAGUGGACUCAGUAGGCUGAGUGAAUGAGGAGCAGAUGCCCUCUAGUGACCACUAUUCCAACACUAUAGUCAAUUACUUUGGGCCAAAGUCUCCCAAAGCUGUCUAAUACAUCUGGUCUAAAGUAGUGCACUAGGAAGGGAACAGGGCUCUGGUCUAAAGUAGUGCACUAUGAAGGGAACAGGGCUCUGGUCU
rnacentral:lncRNA from 1 species